rnacentral:misc_RNA from 1 species
UACGGAGGUUCCUAGCGUUGUUCGGAAUUACUGGGCGUAAAGGGAGCGCAGGCGGACAGGUCAGUUCAAAGUGGAAUCCCAGGGCUCAACCCUGGACGUGCUUUGGAUACUGCCUGUCUUGAGUUCGUGAGAGGAAAGUGGAAUUCAGGGUGUAGCGGUGAAAUGCUUAGAUAUCCUGAGGAACACCAGUGGCGAAAGCGACUUUCUGGCACGAAACUGACGCUGAGGCUCGAAAGCAUGGGUAGCGAACGGG